rnacentral:tRNA from 2 species
GGGCCUAUAGCUCAGUUGGCUAGAGCAUCUCGUUUACACCGAGAGGGUCGGGGGUUCGAGUCCCUCUGGGCCCACCC